UACGUAGGGUGCAAGCGUUGUCCGGAAUUAUUGGGCGUAAAGAGCUCGUAGGCGGUUUGUCGCGUCUGCUGUGAAAACUCGGGGCUUAACUCCGGGCCUGCAGUGGGUACGGGCAGACUAGAGUGCGGUAGGGGAGACUGGAAUUCCUGGUGUAGCGGUGAAAUGCGCAGAUAUCAGGAGGAACACCGGUGGCGAAGGCGGGUCUCUGGGUAGUAACUGACGCUGAGGAACGAAAGCGUGGGUAGCGAACAGG
rnacentral:rRNA from 1 species